CACAAAAAAUCUAGAUUUUUAUUAUAUGAUUAAUGUAAUUAUGUAAUUUAUUUUAAUAAUAAAUAAAUAAACAAAAAUGAUAAAAAGUAUACAGAUUAUUAUCAAAUCUUUAUUUUUAAAUCAUUAAUUGCUAUAUAUAUUUUUUAAUCACAUUAUGUAAUUCCGUAGUUUUUAUUUUAGGAAAGCAUACGAAACAAUAAAGAUUUGAUAUAUGCAACCAACUAUAGCCUGCGAAACAAUAUUUGGCUAAAGAGUAUAAUUUUUAGACUAUAGUUUAUAUAAGGUGCUCUAGAAUUCUUUGAAAUAAGAUUUAGAAAGCAUACACAAGUGCCAGUUAUGACGAGUUUUUUUUUUUAAUUUUUACAAAAUUUAGGUUAUAACUUUUUAAAAGAUCCUCAAUUAAUAUAUAAGAGAUACGAUAACUAUACUCUCCUAUCUUGUUGCUUUAUGCUUGUUGAAUAAAUGUCUUCUCUCCCAUUUAUCUUAUACUAGUGGUAUUCCUACGCUACGCGCCGGAUUUGUAUAUUUUGUUCUCUAAUGAAUUUAUAAUGGUUUAUUUGAUACGUGUUAGUAAUUAUAAUGUAUUACUUUGUUUUGUAGUUUUCUUAGAUCAAAGAAGAAUAGCAUAAAUAGCUUUCAUAGAUUAAUGCAAUAAAAUAGAAUAAAUACUGAUAAUUGCACAAAAUAAAUAUGGUUGAACUUAAAAUAUAAAAUACAGUCGAUGAAAAAAUGUUGAGUGAUGCAUGAUAUAUGUUGAUAAUAAUGUAAAUCCCCUAUUGUUUGAAUAAGUUUCUCCUACUCGAAAAAAAAAAAACAAAAAUGUUAAAGCAACAACCCGGUUCAUCCAAACCGGAUAAUUAAUUAUAAUACAACAAUAUGUCUGUUUAUAUUUUAUCUGAUAUCAUAUAUAUAAAUUACACUAAGACAUUAUAAACUAAUUCAGUCCAUUACUAAUUGGUAAACAUAAUAUAGUCAAGUUAAUAUAAAUCAAUAUUAAUCUCUAUUAUCAUAAACACUUCACUAUUAAUAUAAAAUUCCAUAUUUUAAAUAAUAAUUAUUUUAAAAUAUACUUAUUCAAUAUAUUUAUUAGUAUGAGUUCUAUAAAAAGAGUGAAAUUUUACAAAUAUAUUAUUAUUGUUAAAAGAAUUAUAAUUAUAUUUACAUAUAAUUAUAUAAAUAUAAAAUAUUUCCUCUAACACUACAUUCAAAAAUACAUUUCCAAGUAUAGUUUAAUUAUAGUGGUACGUUUCCUCAUAACGACAACCCCGCAUUUGUAAUUGUUUUUUCUAUUUUUAUAUUUUUUUAAAUUAAAGCUAAACUCCAAUUAUUAUAUUCAGACUCUAACACUCUAAACCUAUAAGUUAUAUCCCAAUUCAUAAAUUUUAACACAAAAUCUAUUUUUCUUUGUACUUUUGAUAGCAGAUAGAAGUGUUUCUUGUGUUUUAGAGAUGAGGUGAAAACUAAUGGUGCUAUGGAGUAACGGCUUACUGUGGGAAAUUGUAUCGUUACGUAGUCAAUCAAAGCAGCAGGUGUGCUUAUGAUUACCAUUGGACUAAUCACAACGCUAUUGCUUGCACAUAAGGGUGCUUCUACUAAACAAAGAUUUUAAAUUAAUUGCAUCAGAGGCAUCAAGACGCAGUCCAGGGUUACACAUUCUACAUUGAAUCUCAUCAACAAAAAAAAUUCUGCAUAACAGCGUCUAGAAACAUCGUAAAUAAGAUGAUCAAAAGUAAUAAAGACAUAAUCCUCCACUUACCCGAAAGAAGAAGUCAUACAAUUGAAAGAGAUGGUAUUUGUCAGCGGGAUCAUGAUGAUUGACAUACUUGAGAAGUUUGAUCUCAUCACGGCUUUGGACAAAAAAGUCUUUGUUGUUCUUUAUGAUCUUUGGUUCAUUCUCAUUAAUGAGUGCAUGCACUAAACCACGAGAGUCGAGUGUAUAUAUAGUAACUUCGGUGCGCAAAGAAGAAAAAUGAGAAAUGUGGUGCAUAGAAAAGACCAGAGAUAAUCAAAGUGAAUAUCAAUUUUAUUCAAACGUUUA